rnacentral:rRNA from 1 species
CACGUAGGGCGCAAGCGUUGUCCGGAAUUAUUGGGCGUAAAGAGCUCGUAGGCGGUCUGUCACGUCGGCUGUGAAAUCCCGAGGCUCAACCUCGGGUCUGCAGUCGAUACGGGCAAACUAGAGUAUUGCAGGGGAGACUGGAAUUCCUGGUGUAGCGGUGAAAUGCGCAGAUAUCAGGAGGAACACCGGUGGCGAAGGCGGGUCUCUGGGCCGAUACUGACGCUGAGGAGCGAAAGCGUGGGGAGCGAACAGG